ACAGCUUGCCAGAGUGGUUAAUGGGUAUGACUCGAAUAAAAAGAUAUCAUAUGUGUUCGCACGCGCAGGUUCAAAUCCUGCAGCUGUCG